UAAUCAUAUCCAGUGGAGGGCUUUUAGAAGUUGUUUGAACCAGUUUUCCCAUACAAUAGAUUCAGUCAUGUGGGAGGAGACGACACAAGCCAGCAACCGUGCCCGCGGGAAAGCUGUGGUGUGCCCCAAGUGCAAGAAUAUCUGUGCUGGCUGCAUGUGCACAAAGGGCUGCAUUUGCAUAAAACCAGCGCCAAGAGGGAGUGAAAACAAUGGGAGAGUGUGUAGGAACUACAGAAGGCAAGAUGCAUGGAAUGGUUAAAUUCUACCUCAAGGAGCCUCCCAGGAGCUAAGCAUCAAAUAGUGUACCCAUCUCUCUUCAGUUUUGUAAAAUAAACAAGCAAAAGGUAACUUCA
rnacentral:lncRNA from 1 species